CUCGAUUCCAUUAAAGACGAGAAUCUAAUCGGAAAAGGAGGUUCCGGCAACGUUUACAAAGUGACUGUCGGAAACGGAAAAGAAUUCGCCGUGAAGCACAUUUGGAACACUAAUCCGUACGAAGGAAAGAAGAAGAGUUACCGUAGUUCAUCGACGAUUCUGGUGAAACAGAGAACGAAGUCAUCGGAAUUUGAGUCGGAAGUGAAGACUCUAAGCUCGAUCCGCCACGUGAACGUGGUGAAGCUGUACUGCAGCAUCACGAGCGAGGUUUCAAGCCUGUUGGUGUACGAAUACAUGCCGAAUGGAAGCUUAUGGGACAGACUUCACACGUCGAGAAAAAUGGAGUUGGAUUGGGAAACAAGAUACGAAAUCGCCGUGGGAGCGGCGAAGGGACUGGAGUAUCUUCAUCACGGUUGUGACCGGCCGGUGAUCCACCGGGAUGUUAAGUCGAGUAACAUACUUUUGGAUGAAUUUCUGAAGCCGAGAAUCGCGG
rnacentral:misc_RNA from 1 species